rnacentral:rRNA from 1 species
GACGAACGCUGGCGGCGUGCUUAACACAUGCAAGUCGAACGGUGAAGCGCCUUCCUUUUUGGUGGGUGUGGAUGAGUGGCGAACGGGUGAGUAACACGUGAGUAACCUGCCCCCUUCUUCUGGAUAACCGCAUGAAAGUGUGGCUAAUACGGGAUAUUCUGGGUCUGUCGCAUGAUGGGUCUGGGAAAGAUAUUGUUUCGGUGGGGGAUGGGCUCGCGGCCUAUCAGCUUGUUGGUGGGGUGAUGGCCUACCAAGGCGGUGACGGGUAGCCGGCCUGAGAGGGUGGACGGUCACACUGGGACUGAGACACGGCCCAGACUCCUACGGGAGGCAGCAGUGGGGAAUAUUGCACAAUGGGCGCAAGCCUGAUGCAGCGACGCCGCGUGAGGGAUGGAGGCCUUCGGGUUGAGAACCUCUUUCGCCAGUGAAGCAGGCCUGCCUCGUUUGUGGGUGGGUUGACGGUAGCUGGAUAAGAAGCGCCGGCUAACUACGUG